rnacentral:rRNA from 1 species
AUGCCAAAAUUUGCACUCACCGUCUUGCGGGUCCCAAAGAAGCUGCUGAGAGACAUCAACAAGUGCAGGAGGAAGUUCCUAUGGAAACAAGAGGAGGAGAUCACCGGGCCAGCUGCAACGUCAACUGUCCGACGGUGUGCACGCCCACCACGCAUGGGGGCUUGGGCAUCCUUGACCUGGAGCGUUUCAACCGUGCCUUGA